CCAUGCCGCGUGUGUGAAGAAGGCCUUUUGGUUGUAAAGCACUUUAAGCAGUGAAGAAGACCUAACGGUUAAUACCCRUUAGCGAUGACAUUAGCUGCAGAAUAAGCACCGGCUAACUCUGUGCCAGCAGCCGCGGUAAUACAGAGGGUGCAAGCGUUAAUCGGAAUUACUGGGCGUAAAGCGAGCGUAGGUGGCUUGAUAAGUCAGAUGUGAAAUCCCCGGGCUUAACCUGGGAACUGCAUCUGAUACUGUCAGGCUAGAAUAGGUGAGAGGAAGGUAGAAUUCCAGGUGUAGCGGUGAAAUGCGUAGAGAUCUGGAGGAAUACCGAUGGCGAAGGCAGCCUUCUGGCAUCAUAUUGACACUGAGGUUCGAAAGCGUGGGUAGCAAACAGGAUUAGAUACCCUGGUAGUCCACGCCGUAAACGAUGUCUACUAGUCGUUGGGUCCCUUGAGGACUUAGUGACGCAGCUAACGCAAUAAGUAGACCGCCUGGGGAGUACGGCCGCAAGGUUAAAAC
rnacentral:rRNA from 1 species